rnacentral:rRNA from 1 species
UACGUAGGUGGCAAGCGUUGUCCGGAUUUAUUGGGCGUAAAGCGAGCGCAGGCGGUUUGAUAAGUCAGAAGUAAAAGGCUGUGGCUCAACCAUAGUACGCUUUUGAAACUGUCAAACUUGAGUGCAGAAGGGGGGAGUGGAAUUCCAUGUGUAGCGGUGAAAUGCGUAGAUAUAUGGAGGAACACCGGUGGCGAAAGCGGCUCUCUGGUCUGUAACUGACGCUGAGGCUCGAAAGCGUGGGGAGCGAACAGG